rnacentral:tRNA from 1 species
GCCCGGAUAGCUCAGUCGGUAGAGCAGUAGGCUUUUAACCAAAGGGGUCCAGGGUUCAAGUCCCUGUUCGGGCG